UACAGAGGGUGCGAGCGUUGUCCGGAAUCACUGGGCGUAAAGGGCGCGUAGGUGGCGACCCAAGUCAAUGGUGAAAGCUCGAUGCUCAACAUCGAGUCGGCCACUGAUACUGGGUUGCUGGAGCACUGUAGAGGCAGAUGGAAUUCCGGGUGUAGCGGUGGAAUGCGUAGAGAUCCGGAAGAACACCGGUGGCGAAGGCGGUCUGCUGGGCAGUUGCUGACACUGAUGCGCGACAGCGUGGGGAGCAAACAGG
rnacentral:rRNA from 1 species